CGCAUCUGUGCAUGCAGCAUAUCAAUAAGCGGAGGAAAAGAAACUAACAAGGAUUCCCUUAGUAACGGCGAGUGAAGCGGGAAGAGCUCAAAUUUGAAAUCUUCAAGGUUUUACCUUGACGAAUUGUAGUUUAAAGAAGUGUUUUCUGUUGAAGUUUUGGUAAAAGUUCUUUGGAAUAGGACAUCAUAGAGGGUGAGAAUCCCGUAUUUGACCAUUAUUUUCAGCUGUGUGAUACACUUUCAAAGAGUCGGAUUGUUUGGGAAUGCAGUCCAAAAUGGGUGGUAAAUUUCAUCUAAAGCUAAAUAUUGGCGAGAGACCGAUAGCGAACAAGUACCGUGAGGGAAAGAUGAAAAGAACUUUGAAAAGAGAGUUAAACAGUACGUGAAAUUGUCAAAAGGGAAGCGUUUGACACCAGUGUUGUUUUCUCGAAAAUCAAUUAAAAAGAGUUUAGAUUUUGUUGUGUAUUGACCUUAACAGCUUGCAUUUCAAUUUUCUUGCUUUUUUUAAUGCACUUUUCGUUUAACAAGUCAACAUCAGUUUCUUUUGUUGUAAAAAGGUCAUUGGAAGGUGGCUUUCUUUUCGGAGAAAGUGUUUAUAGCCUUUGACUCCUGCAAUCGGAGAGACUGAGGUCUGCAGCGUAGAUCCUUCGGGGUUAGAUACAUUUGUGCUAAGUUAUAGCUUUUUAUAGACAACUUGUUGACUAUGAUUAGUCUUGUAGCUUACUCGCUUAUGCUAUUUUACCUACGCUUAGGAUGUUGACACACGCGCGUGCUCG
rnacentral:rRNA from 1 species